ACCACACGUCCUGCGAGUGCCGUCCCAAAAGGCCGCUGCACUCCGUCAUCCGGAGGGAGGCCGACGCCCACCGUCGUGCGUGCUCCGCUCCAGGUGUUCUCUGCAGCGCGGGUCUGGUGUGGGACCCUACGGAAUGCCUGUGUGUUCACAGGAACGCGAGCUCCUUCUCUGAGCCAGAGCUGGACCCCCUGGGUGACCCGGUGCGGGCUCUGUGCGGCCCGAACAAGGUUCUGGACCCGGAGCACUGCGGGUGUGCGUGUCGAAACGGGCUGACCGAGUCCGGCUGCGGGCCGGGCCGUCGUCUGGACAACGGCACGUGCGCCUGCAUCUGCGGGGGUCCGCCGGGGAGCUGCCCCCCCGGCCAGCGCUGGGACCCGGGGGGGUGCGUGUGCGCGUGCCUCCCCAACUGCCCCCGCGGCCUCGCCCCCCAGCCCGGGACCUGCGUGUGCCGGUGCAAAGAGAGCCCGCGAACCUGCCUGCUGCAGGGCAAGAGGUUCAACCCACACACCUGCAGCUGUUACAGGCUACCCUGUCGGACUCCACACAGGAAGUGUCCGUCCGGCUUCUAUUUCAGCCAUUUUGUCUGCAGCUGCAUACCCGAACACAUGAGGACAGACGAGCUGAACUGAGAGGGGCGGAGCGAACUUUAGACACUCCUCCCCAGGGCUCUCAUUGGUCAAAGGGGCUCUUUCUAUGAAGGGUGCAGUGGGCCUCGAGGAGACGGGAUGCAGAAGGAACACGUUGCGGUGAAGACAUUUGGCAGAAGCUGAGAGCACUUGGUUUCUCCCUUUCCUGAUUGGCCAGGGAGUCUGUGGAUUAUGACAUCACUUGGUCAUGGACAAGCUCACGACAGAUUGAUGCAACGAUCCCCUUGUGCUGUUGCACUGAACAUCCAAAAUAAAACUACAAAAAACCA